GGAUGGGAGCCCAUCCUUUCCACAGUACAGGGAACAAAUUGCUCAAGGUGGCAGGAAGCUGUCUUUGUAGGAGUCAUAUCUCUGGGGAUCAUUUCAUGUGCAAUGGAAAAGGCAUUGGAGUUGGAACAUGGGAAGAAUCUGCUGAAUGCCAAGCAGGCCAUGCAGUCUCACCAGGCACUCCAAGAUGUGGCUGAGGCUGGUUGUUAAGCAGCUUUUGGCAUGUUUUUGAGCUUUCUCUCUGUCCCAGACUCACAGCAGCACUGCAAAACAUGAUGCCUUAUCUGACUUCUCAACUCUGUAGUCAAGAAGCACAGGAAAAGAAAAAAGCUAAUAUGUUCCACUCUCCCAAGCAAAAGUGGCAGAGCAGCAUCAAAAAGUGGAGGAGGACACAAGCCUGAGUGGCUGAGUCUGAAUUUCAUUGACUUCAUCAUGGCAGUGCCCACGGACCACUCCAGAAAUAAGGACCUGGAAGAACUUGCCAUAUGGAGAUGGAAACCAGAGAAGUGAGCAGGCAGAUGAAGCAGCUUGUACUUCUGAACAGUGAUAUACAGCUUGUGAUUGCUGACCCCAUGAGUAGCUUGCUUUUGGGGAAAAAAAUAAAAGGUUUUGUCUAGUAUCAGGUAGGGCCCCUUCUUCUCCUUCUUCCGAAGUCAUUCUGGAAGGAAGAAAAACACCCUUCAAAAAUAGAGAGCAUUCUCUUUUCAUUCCUACAGACAUCCUGCUGUCUUUGUAGUUAGUCAUCCGCAGUCUAAACUCCAACUUUAACCAGAGUUAUCAAAACCUAAAUUGCUUGUACCCAUGAAAAGUAAAUUACUAGGACUAAGUCAACCUUGCUGUUUGCCAGACUAUUCAGUUAUGACAGGAUGACUAAUUUAUCCCUCACCUUGUCAUUACAUAUGUGACUGAUGUGAUUUACAGAAACUCCCAUUAGAAUGACACUUGCUUCUCAUGCCAGGCUAAGCUCUACUCACAAGGAAAAGAAAUUUCAUUUCACCUCUCAUAGAGUCCUUGCCUAGAUGUUAAGGAAACUACCAAGAGAACCCUGAUGAAGCAAACACAACAGUGACUUCAUGGCGAAAAGGGACUAGCCUUGACCCUCGGUCAAGUUUAGUUUCCUCUUACAAAUUUUCCAGAAUAGUGAGGUGGAAACAGAAAGAAACACUGAAAAAAGAAAAACUGAAUUCUGUGGAAAAACUAUAAAGUAUGGACAGAGAAAAGGGGUGGAAAACAUAUCCUAUUGCAGAGCACAAAACAAGAUUUUUCUUUUUUCCUAGUGGA